rnacentral:rRNA from 1 species
CGGCGAACGGGUGAGUAACACGUGGGUGAUCUGCCUUGCACUCUGGGAUAAGCCUGGGAAACUGGGUCUAAUACCGGAUAUGACCUGCAGUUGCAUGACUGUGGGUGGAAAGAUUUAUCGGUGCAAGAUGAGCCCGCGGCCUAUCAGCUUGUUGGUGGGGUAAUGGCCUACCAAGGCGACGACGGGUAGCCGGCCUGAGAGGGCGACCGGCCACACUGGGACUGAGACACGGCCCAGACUCCUACGGGAGGCAGCAGUGGGGAAUAUUGCACAAUGGGCGGAAGCCUGAUGCAGCGACGCCGCGUGAGGGAUGACGGCCUUCGGGUUGUAAACCUCUUUCGACUCCGACGAAGCGAAAGUGACGGUAGGAGUAUAAGAAGCACCGGCCAACUACGUGCCAGCAGCCGCGGUAAUACGUAGGGUGCGAGCGUUGUCCGGAAUUACUGGGCGUAAAGAGCUUGUAGGCGGCUUGUCGCGUCGAUCGUGAAAACUCGGGGCUCAACCCCGAGCUUGCGGUCGAUACGGGCAGGCUUGAGUACUUCAGGGGAGACUGGAAUUCCUGGUGUAGCGGUGAAAUGCGCAGAUAUCAGGAGGAACACCGGUG